rnacentral:rRNA from 1 species
GUCGAACGGAGAUAUUCGCUGAUGAAGUACUUCGGUAAUGAAUCUUGGAUAUCUUAGUGGCGGACGGGUGAGUAACGCGUGAGCAACCUGCCUUUCAGAGGGGGAUAACGUUUGGAAACGAACGCUAAUACCGCAUGACAUUAUCUUAUCGCAUGGUAGGAUAAUCAAAGGAGCAAUCCGCUGAAAGAUGGGCUCGCGUCCGAUUAGGUAGUUGGUGGGGUAACGGCCCACCAAGCCGACGAUCGGUAGCCGGACUGAGAGGUUGGACGGCCACAUUGGGACUGAGACACGGCCCAGACUCCUACGGGAGGCAGCAGUAAGGGAUAUUGGUCAAUGGGGGAAACCCUGAACCAGCAACGCCGCGUGAGGGAAGACGGUUUUCGGAUUGUAAACCUCUGUCCUCUGUGAAGAUGAUGACGGUAGCAGAGGAGGAAGCUCCGGCUAACUACGUGCCAGCAGCCGCGGUAAUACGUAGGGAGCGAGCGUUGUCCGGAUUUACUGGGUGUAAAGGGUGCGUAGGCGGCUUGGCAAGUCAGUAGUGAAAUCCAUGGGCUUAACCCAUGAACUGCUAUUGAAACUGUCGAGCUUGAGUGAAGUAGAGGUAGGCGGAAUUCCCGGUGUAGCGGUGAAAUGCGUAGAGAUCGGGAGGAACACCAGUGGCGAAGGCGGCCUACUGGGCUUUAACUGACG